AGGCCAUACCCCCCUGCACUGUGCUGUCCUGGCCCACAACGCCCUGCUGCGGGAGCAGGGGCACCCAGGGGUGACGAAGGAGCAGCAGGAAGGUCUCCAGCACCAGAGCGAGGAGCUGGAGAGCUGCAUCCAGCUCCUGGUGCAGGCGGGAGCCUCCAUCUACAGCCGGGUAGGGAAUCGCUUCUGUCUGUCCCUCAGUCACCCCCGUGCUGUUCAUUUGUACGAACUCUGACACUCGUGCUGCACUCAAAAUAUCAAAUUGGAGGAGAAUGGACUGCUGGCAGAAGGAGCAAACCUGUUUCCCUUGCAAGGAGCUGGUUGCAGAGUCAGCUCCUGCCUUUUGGGGUUGCUUCCCCGCAGCCUGAGCCAAAGGCUGGGGAUUUGGGUGGGUGCUGCAGGGAAGGAGGCGCCUCGGUGCUGCCCCUGAGCUGCAGAGCUGGCCUGGAGGCCUUUCUGCUGGGUUUACAUAAUGGCUUUAAGUUGUUCCGCAGGACGUUCAUUGUGCUUUGUUUCGCUGUCUGUAAUUAGGACGUGAAAAGCAACAAGACAGUUCUGCAUUACACAGUCCAGGAUGCCAACAUCUCCCUGCUUAGGUACUUCCUGGAGCUGAACGCUUUCAAAUCCAGGGAUUUUGUCAACAGCAAGGUGAGUCAGGAGCUGCCUGGACGGGGUCUGUGUGCCAGUGUCUGGGCAGAGGAGGUGCUGAGGGCACCAAGCUGCCUGCAGUGGGAGGCUGCAAGCACGUGGAGCCAUUGGGGGAUCUUUGGGGUCCUGCAGAAACCAGACACUCUCUUCCUGUACUCAUUUUUCUAGAGGGAAAAGAACAACAGCUCGUGCUUCUGAGCUUUUUUUUUUUUUUAGUGCCCUGAAACUGCAUUUUCCAGUCAAUAGGCACCUCACCUGGAAAUGUGCUUGAAUUGCCGUGAAACGCAGGCACCUCUGCCAGCAGCAAGAGCUGGCAGAAGGAGAGCAGUGGGAAGUGGUUACUCGAGAAGGAACGCGAACUUCAUUAUGCUAGGCUGAGAAAACAGAUCUGCAGUGAUGCAAUGGCCUGCUGCUGGCAGCAAAACAACACCGAGGGACGGCUGGUGAGGGCUGUGCAUCGGGGACCUCUCCUCUCGGAGGGGCCAUAAGCAGCGAGCGGGCAGUGCCUUUGCUUUGCAUUUCAAGAAUUUCGCAGGCUCAGCCUUGCAGUCCCCGGAGCAUCCACAGGCCUGUGUCCAACAGAGAGGAAUCAAACAUUUGCUGCUGACACAGUUUUUACUGGGAAGCAAAAACUGGGCAGCUUCACAUUUUUUUUUCCCCCUACAGAUUUCUGUUGGGCUGGAGGAGAGGAAACAUGUUUUGCUUUGUGUGGGGGUAAUUGCUCUGGGGUUUUGCUUUUCUGCGAGGUGAAAGGCCUUGCGCUGUCUUUCACUACAUUCCUGCUGUAUCUCUGAAGACCCUCUAGGCAGGUGCUAUCUUGUCCGUGGGAGGCUGCUCUUGUCUCUUGAUCGCAGUCCUGUGAGAGCUCCCUGCUGCGAUAGCA
rnacentral:lncRNA from 1 species